GGUCUGAUGGCGUAGUUGGUUAUCGCAUCUGUCUAACAUCUGUGCACAGAAGGUCCCCAGUUCGAGCCUGGGUCAGAUCA